rnacentral:misc_RNA from 1 species
GCAAACUUGGUCAUUUAGAGGAAGUAAAAGUCGUAACAAGGUCUCCGUAGGUGAACCUGCGGAGGGAUCAUUAACAGAGAUGGUGGGCCCCCGCGCCCCCGUCCCCAACCCUUUGUUGACCAAAACCUUUUUGCCUCGGGGGUGGAGCGGCCGUCGUGCCGCCGCCCCCGGUGGACCACCAAACGCUGUCUCUGUACGUCGGAGUCUUAAUGAAAAUGAAUGAAAACUUUCAACAACGGAUCUCUUGGUUCUGGCAUCGAUGAAGAACGCAGC